UAGUCCACGCCCUAAACGAUGCUAACUCGAUAUUUGGAUUUAGGUCUGAGUGUCUAAGGGAAACCAAUAAGUUAGCCACCUGGGGAGUACGAUCGCAAGAUUGAAACUCAAAGGAAUUGACGGGGGCCCGCACAAGCGGUGGAGCAUGUGGUUUAAUUCGAUGAUACGCGAGGAACCUUACCAGGGCUUAAAUGUAAGUUGCAUAGACCAGAGAUGGUCUUUUCUUCGGACUACUUACAAGGUGCUGCAUGGUUGUCGUCAGCUCGUGCCGUGAGGUGUCAGGUUAAGUCCUAUAACGAGCGCAACCCCUACCGUUAGUUGCCAGCAAGUAAAGUUGGGGACUCUAGCGGGACUGCCUACGCAAGUAGAGAGGAAGGAGGGGACGACGUCAAGUCAUCAUGGCCCUUACGCCCAGGGCUACACACGUGCUACAAUGGUGCAUACAGAGGGUAGCGACACUGCGAGGUGAAGCCAAUCUCAAAAAGUGCAUCUCAGUUCGGA
rnacentral:rRNA from 1 species